GUUCCUGGCUCAGGAUGAACGCUAGCUACAGGCUUAACACAUGCAAGUCGCGGGGCAGCAUGAAGUCAGCUUGCUGACUUUGAUGGCGACCGGCGCACGGGUGAGUAACGCGUAUCCAACCUGCCUGUUACCACGGCACAGCCCGUCGAAAGGCGGAUUAAUGCCGUAUGUGGUCCUUUGCGGGCAUCUAAUUAGGACUAAAGGUUCGGCGGUAACGGAUGGGGAUGCGUCCGAUUAG
rnacentral:rRNA from 1 species